UACGUAGGGUGCAAGCGUUAAUCGGAAUUACUGGGCGUAAAGCGUGCGCAGGCGGUGAUGAUAAGACAGGUGUGAAAUCCCCGGGCUUAACCUGGGAACUGCAUUUGUGACUGGCGGGCUAGAGUAUGGCAGAGGGGGGGUAGAAUUCCACGUGUAGCAGUGAAAUGCGUAGAGAUGUGGAGGAAUACCGAUGGCGAAGGCAGCCCCCUGGGCCAAUACUGACGCUCAUGCACGAAAGCGUGGGGAGCAAACAGG
rnacentral:rRNA from 1 species